CAACUUGAGAGUUUGAUCCUGGCUCAGAACGAACGCUGGCGGCAGGCUUAACACAUGCAAGUCGAACGAAGGCUUCGGCCUUAGUGGCGCACGGGUGAGUAACACGUGGGAAUAUACCUCUCGGUGGGGAAUAACGUCGGGAAACUGACGCUAAUACCGCAUACGCCCUUAGGGGGAAAGAUUUAUCGCCGAGAGAUUAGCCCGCGUCCGAUUAGCUAGUUGGUGAGGUAAAAGCUCACCAAGGCGACGAUCGGUAGCUGGUCUGAGAGGAUGAUCAGCCACACUGGGACUGAGACACGGCCCAGACUCCUACGGGAGGCAGCAGUGGGGAAUAUUGG
rnacentral:ncRNA from 1 species